GAGUGAGUGUGUGUCUGUUAAUGUGUGUGUGUGUGUCUGCUAGUGAGUGAGUGUGUCUGAUUGUGUGUGUCUGUUAUUGUGUAUGUGUGUGUGUUUGCCUGUGAGUGUGUGUCUGUUAGUGUGUGUGUGUGUGAAUAAAAAAAGUGUUAAUGUGAGUGAGUGUGUGUCUGUUAAUGUGUGUGUGUGUGUGUUUUGUUAGUGUGUGUGUGUGUGUGUGUGUCUGACUGUGUGUGUGUCUGACUGUUUGCCAGUGAGUGUUUGCCUGUGAGUGUGUGUGUGUGUGUGUGUGUGUGUCUGUUAGUUUGUGUGUGUUUGCCUGUGAGUGUGUGUCUGUUAAUGUGUGUGAGUUUGUGUGUGUGUCUGCUAGUGUAUCUGUGUGUCUCUGACUGUGUGAGUGUGUGUGUCUGCUAGUGAGUGAGUGUGUGUCUGUUAGUGUGUCUGACUGUGUGUGUCUGUUAGUGUGUAUGUGUGUGUCUGACUGUGUCAGUGAGUGUGUGUUUGCCUGUGAGUGUGUGUCUGUUAGUGUGUGUGUGUGUGUGUGUGUGUGAAUAAAAAAAAUGUGUUAAUGUGAGUGAGUGUGUCUGACUGUGUGUGUGUGUUUGCCUGUGAGUGUGUGUGUGUGUGAGUUUGUGUGUCUGCUAGUGAGUGUGUAUCUGUUAGUGUGUGUGUCUGACUGUGUUUGUCUGUUAGUGUGUGUGUGUGUGUGUGUGUCUGCUAGUGAGUGUGUGUCUUAGUGUGAGUGUGUGUCAGUGAGUGUGUGUGUCUGUUAGUGAGUGUGUCUGUUAGUGUGUGUGUGUUUCUGUUAGCGAGUGUAUGCGUAUCUGUCAGUGAAUGUGCGUGUGUGUGUAUUUAGAAGAACACUCAGCAUGACAGGUGGAUGCGCAUUAGGG